rnacentral:rRNA from 1 species
UACAGAGGGUGCAAGCGUUGUUCGGAAUCACUGGGCGUAAAGCGCGCGUAGGCGGCUUUGCAAGUCGGGUGUGAAAUCCCCAGGCUUAACCUGGGAACUGCAUUCGAGACUGCAUUGCUAGAGUAUGGGAGAGGGAAGUGGAAUUUCCGGUGUAGCGGUGAAAUGCGUAGAUAUCGGAAGGAACAUCAGUGGCGAAAGCGACUUCCUGGACCAAUACUGACGCUCAUGUGCGAAAGCGUGGGGAGCAAACAGG